rnacentral:rRNA from 1 species
GACGAACGCUGGGGCGUGCUUAACACAUGCAAGUCGAACGGAAAGGCCUCUUUCGGGGGGUACUCGAGUGGCGAACGGGUGAGUAACACGUGAGUAACCUGCCCUUGACUUUGGGAUAACUUCAGGAAACUGGGGCUAAUACCGGAUAGGAGCUCCUGCUGCAUGGUGGGGGUUGGAAAGUUUCGGCGGUUGGGGAUGGACUCGCGGCUUAUCAGCUUGUUGGUGGGGUAGUGGCUUACCAAGGCUUUGACGGGUAGCCGGCCUGAGAGGGUGACCGGCCACAUUGGGACUGAGAUACGGCCCAGACUCCUACGGGAGGCAGCAGUGGGGAAUAUUGCACAAUGGGUGGAAGCCUGAUGCAGCAACGCCGUGUGCGGGAUGACGGCCUUCGGGUUGUAAACCGCUUUCGCUCAUGACGAAGCUUUGUGUGACGGUAGUGGGUAAAGAAGCACCGGCUAACUACGUG